CGUUGAGACGUUGUUAUUUGUCUCCGCCUUCGACAACAGUAUCAUUUGCCCCUUGCUGUUCUAGGCGAUGUAGGAGGUCUAGCACUGCCCCAUGAUUUAGCGGUUAGUGAUGCGUUUCACGUUAUGAAUGCGUACUUGGCGUUUUGUCGGAGGCGCGUAACAACCAGCAAACGGUUUGCAUGUGUUGGGGUUGCCACGUCUUGGAAUAGCGCGUGCGUUGAGACGUUGUUAUUUGUCUCCGCCUUCGACAACAGUAUCAUUUGCCCCUUGCUGAGACGAUGUAGGAAGUCUUGCGCUGCCUCAUGGCUUGGCUACCAGUAUUGCCUUUGCCUUCGAUGAUUCAACGUCAGUGGUUGCCGAUUGGCGCAACGGAAGCUGCACGCAAUGCCGAAGUUACAAGAUUUUAAGAGCAGGAGAAGAAGGAAGCACAUGGUGCAACGGAGGCUGGAUUAAAGUGGACCUUAGGACAAGCCUAUUGUCGCGCAUACAAUCCCUAGUUGCGCCGAAGUCGUCUGCAAUUGUGUAACGCCCCACUGGUGGUAAACUGCCAUUCUCGCUUAACGCGUGAUGCAGAAGGAUUUGCUACGAUGCUGUGUUUAAUGCACUAAGAGGACAUGCAAGUGACAAAAUGCGACGAUGCAUUGCGAUGCCCGCAGACGCUGUUGACUCAGUGUGCUUUCUGCCCAGUGCUCUGAAUGCCAAUGUGAUGAAAUUUAGUCAAGAGCCGCUUGAUGGCGGGCGGAACCAUGACGCCCCUUAGGUAGCUAAAUGCCUCAUAAUCCAAAUAAUGAUGUGCGUGAAUGUACUAAGGAUAUUCUCAAUCUCCUACUAUCUAGGGAAAGCAUAGCCCAGGGAGCGGUCUUGGAGAAAUCAGCUGGAAAAGAUGACCCUGUUCAGCUGGGCUCUAGUCCAACUGUGGGGAGCUCUCUUCGGGGAUGUAGCAUGGGCGGGAGCUUAGGCUAUCGUAAAGAACCACUGCCCAACGCGCCACUUUACUCAACGCUCAUCCAACCUAGGCGGUGAACGAGUGUGGAUAACGUGACGUGCUGACGCGAGAUGUUGCAAGGCUGCGCAAGCAACCGACUAAAGCGGUUCGUGAGAGAUGCGCUUUUGUUGCGACUGUAUUUUGCUACAAAAGCGGCUCGUCAGAGAUGCGCUAUUGUUGCGACUGUAUUUGCUGCCAGU
rnacentral:ncRNA from 1 species